rnacentral:tRNA from 1 species
GGGGACUUGGCGCAAUCGAAGCGCGUCGGAUUCCAGAUCCGAAGGUUGCAGGUUCAAGUCCUGCAGUCCCCA